rnacentral:rRNA from 1 species
GGUUUAUUGAUUAAAUAAUAAAUUGUUUCUGCCCAUUGAAAAAAAAUUAAAAGGCUGCAGUAUAUUAACUGUACAAAGGUAGCAUAAUAAAUAGUUUUUUAAUUGAAAACUUGAAUGAAUGAAUUGAUAAAAUAUAUAUUGUCUCAAAUUAAUAAAAUAUUAAAAUUAAAUAAAAAGUAAAAAUGCUUUUAUAAAAUUAUUAGACGAUAAGACCCUAAGAAUUUUAUUAAUAAGAAAUUUAAUUUAAUUUUGUAUAAAUUUUUAAAAUAAAAAUCUUAUUAAUUUUGUUGGGAGGAUAAUUAAAUUAUAAAACUUUAAUUUUAAAUUAAUGAAUUAAUUAAAAUUUUAAUGAUAAUUUUUAUAAUUAUAAGAAAUAAUUACCUUAGGGAUAACAGCGUAAUAAUUUUGGAGAGUUCAUAUUGAUAAAAUUGUUUACGACCUCGAUGUUGAAUUAAAAUAAAAUUUAAAUGGAGAUAUUUAAAAUUUUAGUCUGUUCGACUAUUAAAAUUUUACA